rnacentral:lncRNA from 1 species
GCCUGCCUCUCUUCUCCAAGCAGGGCUCCCAUCUCUUCAGGCUGGGCUAACAUCAUUACACACUCCUGUCAGUUGACCACAGGUAACUGAAAUGUGGGACACUGAAGACAGGAAGGAGGGUCUGCUGUAUGCAGACAUUGUGAUGUUUCUCAUAAGGCCCUCAGAGAUCUUGGGCUUUGCACUCUAUUUUUAACAAUGAGUCAUUUGCCUUGAGAUGCUGUUGGCUGUCCAAACUCAUGAUUUGGAAGAUAUCUCUCCCUGUUUUGAACAAACCAAAACAACAACAACAACAACAACAAAUCCUACAGGUAUCACAGGCAACAUCCAUGUAACUUUCACAACAUAAUUUGCUGCAAAAAUGCAGAGUGUAGUCUGUAUCCCUUCAAGUGCUGUGUGGAGCCUCUGUCAAGAUGCAUCUUUCAUGUUUCCAUAUUAAGUAAACAGUCAUUUUUAGGAGCAACAAGAACCUGCUUUGUUGAUAAUGAAAAAUGAUGCUUGACUACAUUUUAUAGAGGAAUUUUAAUCCAGCAAUAUGUCUGCUCUGGCAAGGAACCACAUCCAAAGAUCCAGGUCUGUGUGAUCUGGGUGGAACACAGACAUGACAUACACCUUUAAUCCCAAACAAUGUAGAGACUAGAAGAUUUCUUAUGUCACUUUUUAUCUGCACCACCACUUUGCCUUUAAAGAAGAUGUAUCCCAAUUUUCAAGACCAGACCUUAUGUACUGUACUGAAGAUUAUCUGUUAGUGACAGCAAACUAUACCACGUCAUAGGAAAAGACUGUUUCAAAUCUCUAAAAUGUCAGGAGCAGAGAAAGUCCUGAGUCUGUGGAGUGAAUAUCUUUUGAUAAAGGUGCAGCCAUGUUAAUGACUUCAAAUUGCUGGGCUCAGAGAGAUGGCAAAGCCUUCCAAGGGAACUGAAGGACUGGAUUCCCAAAAGGUUUGGAGUGAUGUUCUUCUGGUAAAUUUACAUAAUAAGCUGCUGCAGAUUGGACUCAAUACAGAUUAAACAAUGCCAAAUGCAAUGGGCCAGAGAGAUGGUUCAAUGAUUAGAAAUGUGUACUACUUUUGCCCAAGACCUGAGAUGGCUUCCCAGCACCUACAUUACAGCGUUGAUCAUUGCCUCUGACCACAGCUCCAGUAGAUCGGGCAUCCUUUUCUGUCAUCUGUGGGCAUGCGUGCUAUGUGCACAUACACAAAGACACACACAAAACGUGCAUAAAUAUUACAAAAAAGACAAUAAACCUUUUAUAAAAUGAAGUACUUUUUGGAACUUAACUCUUUAAAACAAGUAAUGCUGUAUGAAGUGUUGCUGUUUUUGUAAUUCUUAAAGUUCAAAAAGGUGAUUGUAAUUUCACUGUUUGAAUCUCUCAUGCAAAACUGCUGUGUGAAGUGCACAAUAAAGUCCAUCUUAAGGGAUAAUCCAAAUAUGCAUUUUAUUAAAGAAAUAAUCUAU